rnacentral:rRNA from 2 species
GCUGCUCCUAGUACGAGAGGACCGGAGUGGACGCAUCACUGGUGUUCGGGUUGUCAUGCCAAUGGCACUGCCCGGUAGCUAAAUGCGGAAGAGAUAAGUGCUGAAAGCAUCUAAGCACGAAACUUGCCCCGAGAUGAGUUCUCCCUGAGACUUAGAGUCUCCUGAAGGAACGUUGAAGACGACGACGUUGAUAGGCCGGGUGUGUAAGCGCAGCGAUGCGUUGAGCUAACCGGUACUAAUGAACCGUGAGGCUUAACCUUACAACGCCGAAG